rnacentral:rRNA from 1 species
GACAGAGGGUGCAAACGUUGUUCGGAAUUACUGGGCGUAAAGCGCGUGUAGGCGGCUUGUCACGUCGGAUGUGAAAGCCCGAGGCUUAACCUCGGGUCUGCAUUCGAUACGGGCUAGCUAGAGUGUGGUAGGGGAGAUCGGAAUUCCUGGUGUAGCGGUGAAAUGCGCAGAUAUCAGGAGGAACACCGAUGGCGAAGGCAGGUCUCAGGGCCACUACUGACGCUGAGAAGCGAAAGCAUGGGGAGCGAACAGG